AUUAACCUGAAGUGUUGGUCCUGAUAUUUUGAACCUACAGUUACUUUAAACGGGAUUCCUAUAUCUUCUCGUCUAUGUCAGGCCUCAAAAUAUCAGUGGAAGGCAGAAGCGAGUUUGCGGUUACCCACCUGGCAGUCGUGCUAGGAGUCAAAAACAGGGUUAACAUUUUGGGGUUAAU
rnacentral:other from 1 species